GGGGAAUAUUGGACAAUGGGCGCAAGCCUGAUCCAGCCAUGCCGCGUGGGUGAAGAAGGCCUUCGGGUUGUAAAGCCCUUUUGUUGGGAAAGAAAAGCAGCCGGCCAAUACCCGGUUGUUCUGACGGUACCCAAAGAAUAAGCACCGGCUAACUUCGUGCCAGCAGCCGCGGUAAUACGAAGGGUGCAAGCGUUACUCGGAAUUACUGGGCGUAAAGCGUGCGUAGGUGGUGGUUUAAGUCCGUUGUGAAAGCCCUGGGCUCAACCUGGGAACUGCGGUGGAUACGGAUCCACUAGGGGGUGGAUGGGGGAGGUGAAUUCCCCGGUGAGGCGGUGAAAUGCGUGGGGAUCGGGAGAAACAUAGGGGGCGAGGGCACCUGCCUGGGCAACCACUGACACUGAGCCACAAAAGCGUGGGAGCAAACA
rnacentral:rRNA from 1 species